rnacentral:misc_RNA from 1 species
GCUAAGGUCUCAACUGUCAAAUUGAAUAUCUGAGAGUGAAAAUAACAAACUAACCACUUCAUUUUUCUGAGCAUUCUGGUAUAAACCUUAAAUAUAAAGGCACACAAAUGCAAUAAUGGAAGUGAAAAAUACAAGUAAAACAAAAUGAUCAAGAAUUUGAUCAAAUGCUGUUAUAGGUGGCAAAUCAAGCCAUUGCGGUUUAAACAACGUGAUUGCCAGGUCCCAAACCAUCAAUUAUAAUACCUCAUCUGGGAACUGGGCAGGAAAGUAGGUUCCAGAAAACAAUGGGCAACUGGCAGAAAAAAUCAGUAUGUUUCACACAAAUCAAACAUAGAGAAUUGCAAGAAGAGUUAGAUACUAUUAAGAAGAUAUGAGAGAAGGAGCAUCUUAACUGGACAACCAAUAUAAACAUGUCUAUCCUUGAGUUAAAAGCUCAGGUUCAAACAAAUUCGAUUUCAGAAAACAAUUUGAUCACAGAAUAAAUUCAAGUACAAAUGAUUUCAAUGACAUGCCAUGCAAGAACAGUACUUCAGCCCACAAGCAUCAAUCCUAAAACGUAUGGGCACAAUCUAACAAUAAAGGGUGAUCUUUCAUACCACAGCACUAGGUACUACAAAUACAAACCAAUUCUGGAUGCCCCUAAUUCCCUGUCACUGGAAUUACGUGUUCUUUUCAUAAGGAUAGAUAUCCUUAGAUGCAAUAUGUAUUUCAUUGAAACUUCCUUAAGUGACGGAUCUUCAAGUUAAAUUACCAGAAGCACCUUUUCU